rnacentral:sRNA from 1 species
CUUGGUCAUUUAGAGGAAGUAAAAGUCGUAACAAGGUUUCCGUAGGUGAACCUGCGGAAGGAUCACUAGUGAUUAAAUCGAGAGCGUCUUAAUUGACCUCUCACCCUUCACAUCCACAUACACCCUGUGAAUCGUUUGGCUUUUCAUUAACAGAGCGCAAGCUCGACGAGUGAAAAGUCAUCAUUUAUACAUACCCCAGUCUUAUGAAUGUAACAGUUUUAAUAAACAUAAUAAAACUUUUAACAACGGAUCUCUUGGUUCUCGCAUCGAUGAAGAACGCAGCGAAAUGCGAUAAGUAAUGUGAAUUGCAGAAUUCAGUGAAUCAUCGAAUCUUUGAACGCACCUUGCGCUCCUUGGUAUUCCGAGGAGCGUGCCUGUUUGAGUGUCAUGAAACUCUCACCCUUCAACUUUCUUAAUAGUGGUUGCGGACGUGGACUUGAGCGUUGCUGGUUUUUAUUAACCGGCUCGCUUGAAAUGAAUUAGCAGAUCCUUUUUGUAAUCGGUUCCACUCGACGUGAUAAGUAUUUCGCCGAGGACAUCUUAACGGAUGGCCGAGAUAAAGAAAGUCUUAGAUCCGCUUCUAAUUCUUAGCUUUACGCAAGUAAACUAAACCCAUUUUAUGAUCUGGCCUCAAAUCAGGUAGGACUACCCGCUGAACUUAAGCAUAUCAAUAAGCGGAGGAAAAGAAACUAACAAGGAUUCCCCUAGUAACGGCGAGUGAAGCGGGAUGAGCUCAAAUUUAAAAUCUUGCAGCCUCAGGUUGUACGAGUUGUAGUCUAGAGAAUCGUUUUCCGCGUUGGCCUGUGUACAAGUCCCUUGGAACAGGGCGUCAUAGAGGGUGAGAAUCCCGUCCUUGACACAGACUACCAAUGCUUUGUGGUGCGAUCUCGAAGAGUCGAGUUGUUUGGGAAU